UACCAGCACCCCGAGUGGUCGGGACGUUUUAUUGGGCCUAAAGCAUCCGUAGCCGGUUCUACAAGUCUUCCGUUAAAUCCAGCUGCUUAACGGAUGGGCUGCGGAAGAUACUAUGGAGCUAGGAGGCGGGAGAGGCAAGCGGUACUCGAUGGGUAGGGGUAAAAUCCGUUGAUCCAUUGAAGACCACCAGUGGCGAAGGCGGCUUGCCAGAACGCGCUCGACGGUGAGGGAUGAAAGCUGGGGGAGCAAAGCCGG
rnacentral:rRNA from 1 species